GGGAGCUCGGGAGACGUGCAGAACCUCAGAAUCCCCCGGCUUCGGGGUGAGGACACUGGGCAUAUACCCUACCUCUCGUCAGUAGGGUCCCUGGCCGAGGCCGCUCCCAGAGCCAUUCAUCCAGCCCUCCAGCCUGCUUCACUGCAGCCAGAGAGAUGGCCUCGGGCUGAGCAUCCCCCGUGCCCCCAGUAGAGCAUGGACUGCCGUACUGAGUGCCCAGGAGAGCUGGCUGUGGCUUUUAUAAUUUUUAAAUGUUUUCUUCCCCAACAAAGCCAGGCUUUCAAGAAGAUGGUCUUGCUAUGGACACAAAAAUAUCUAAUUUGGAACUCAAAUCUGGUUGUUUCUUUCAGGUUUCAUCCCCCAUGUCUUAGUCAGCUUGGGCUGCUGUAACAAAAGACCAUCACUGGGUGACUUUAACAAUUCCUUUCUCAGUCCUGGAGGCUGGGAAUUCCCAGAUCAAGGUGCUGGAUGAUUCAGUGUCUGAAUAUGAUGGACGUGACACUAUGCCAUUUCUGGGCCUGGUAGCUUCUUCUUUCAUGCUUUUGGGAGCCCUGAGCUGCCGUAUGGGAAGUCCAGCUACCCUGCUGCAGACGCAACUGGGGCAGACCCACAGAGACAGAGAAGACCUGAGAGAGAGUCCUGGCCUUGGGCACCAUGCACUCAGCAAGCGGAAAAAAAGGUUUCGUGCUAUCAUUGUUAUUCUUCUUCGCUGAUCAGUGGUUAUCACGUACCAGCUUGGGGAUUUUACAUCCCAAGGAGAUCUUCCGUUUCCAGAAUCUUUCAUCCCCACGAAACUGCCUCAUGUGGAAUCAGGGAACUCCUGAAGUCUACCUUUAGUCUUUUGUGCUGCUCUCUGAGGAGACGGAGCGCAGUCCAGUCUGCUCUGGGGCUGCCUUCAUCUCUUUCCCCGUCGGGGUGUGUCACGAGCUCACUGAAGCCUCUCGUCACCACGAAUGCCACCUCUGAGACCUGUGCAGGGAGCAUGGCCCUGGAGUUCGAUGGAUCCGAGUUCAAAUGCUGCUUCAGCUGCUGCCCCUGGGGCCCUGGGGCCUUUGCCCUCCCCAUCACCAUGGCAGCCCUCAGUUUCUUCACCUGCCCAAAGUGGAGAAUGGUGAUGGCCUCCUGGUAGCUGUGAUGCUUAGACACAGCAGGUCCUAGGAUCCACUUAUGCACUGAAGAAGGAUUUGGGGCACAUGGCUUACCUCUCCACCCUCUCCAGAGCACAGAGGUGAGUCCUGAGCCCUGGCUGCAGGGAACUUGCCACAAGGCUCAAGCAGGCAAAAUGCAGCACUGAAUCAACAAUUCAGUGAUAAUUCAGGUUGUUGCAAUAGAUGCACAAGGCCAAAAAACUCUGUCCUUCCCUCCACCCGCCCCCCACCCUGCCCCCCGCCAAGGAGCUCACUGUCAAACCUGGGAGAUAGGUAAUAAUAACCAUUUCUGUAAUAACAAUACUGUUAAAAAAUAAUAAGGAUCGUUUGUUGAGUUGGGCUGAGAAUUGUAAUGUGAUUUACAUGGGUUUUAUUUUAAUCCUCACAAAAACCUGAGAAGGCAUCCUCAGAGCUGCUUGCUCUCAGGGUCACACAGGAGAGCUGUGAUUUAAACCCAGAUGACUCUGUUCUAUGCCUCUGUGCACAGGUCUCUGUGCACAAGGCUGCAGUCUCCUGAGUGUCCCCUAUGUGCCAAACCAGGCACUGUCCCUGCAGUAAGUGAUAUCCAUCUUCAGUGUAUACUGCAAUUUGGGUUGCCAGGGACAGAAAACCUAAUUCAAAGGAGCUUAAAUAAUAAAGGGAAUUCACUGGCUUACAUAACGAAAAAAGAGGUAGGACUGCUUCAGGCAAGGAUUGAUCCAGCCUCUAGACACUGUUUGGUAUGGAUAGGACCACCAAUGCAUUUUCCCUUUCUUCAUUUCUUGGCUCUACUUCCUCAUUGUUGCAUCAUUUUCAGCAAGCCUAUCCCUCCUGCCUCUAGGAUGGUCACCAGCUGAUUCCUCCUUCGCAUCUGUGAUAAACAAGAGUCCGAGUCACUCAACAGCUAAAUCCAAGUCCCAGAAUUUGGCCUGUGUGUGGCCAGAUUUGGGUCAUGUGCCCAUUCCUGUACCAAUCACUGUGGCCAGUCAAGUCCUCCUGUGGCCAAACCACAUCGCCAGGAAAUUUAGGGCAAUGAGAGGGAGAGGGAAAAGGAUGCCAAACUAUAAAUAAAAAUCCACUGCUUUCUUCCUACAAAAAAGGUGUUCUACCCAUUUAAUGGAUGAGGAAACUGAGGAUCGGAGCAGCCAUGCACCAGGAUGGUGCUGUCUGACGGGGGAGGGAGCUUUCCCAGGAGAGGAGAGACAGCUAUAGCCAUUGUGGGCAUCUUACAUAAAAACUCCUGUGCACACACCUAUGCUUAACAAGGAUUUUGUUAUCCUAACGUUCCCACUUUCCCAAAACCCACUGUUGCACCUCACUCUAGUAACUGAAGAAUGCAAAUGGAAACAGCCAGAGUCUCAUUUUUGGCUCAACAAAUUGGCAAAAGUGGACAAAAUAAUGAUCCUUGAUGCUAGGGUGUGUGGAGUGAGGCAGGCUCCUUAUCUCUGGCUGGUGGCAUAGAAAUUGGUCCGAGCUUUCUGGAAGAGAGUGCUUCUAUAUUGUGUUAAGAGCCCUAGCAGUUAGUAGCCUUUGACUCUGAGCAAUUUUACUUCUAGGAAUCCAUCGUUAAAUGAUGGGGACCACCCAAUAAAGAAAUAUGAAGUUGUCCAGUGCUGUGUUACUUGUAGCAGGGGAACCCUGGUAACACUGCGUUCUCAGUUGCUCAUCUACCAAAGGCAGUGUGCAAAAAAUGCAGCCCUUUUUAUUGCUCUAAGCCUGAGCUUAAUUUCUAUUUCAACUUUCCAUUCUGACCAGGGGCAGAAACCUAAUCUCUGUGGCUCAGGCUCCCCAUGCCCGCUGCCUCUUUCCCUCCUUGGGAUGCUCUUGGUCUUGUGUGGUUGUUAGUUCUUGAUUCACUUAAUCACUGCCUGUCCCCCGCAUUCCUCUCCCACCCUGUGGCCUUCUGUGUGUGGGGGAACAUUCUCCCUCUGGGAGGUAGGGACCUUGCAGACAGUAAGCUCAGGCCCUCUGCCUGGACCCCGCAGGCAGACAUGUCUUCUGCUCUCAUUCUGUGUUGAUGCAGGGAGUGGGGAGUGGCCGAUGGGUCCUCUUUGCCUUAGAUUUCUGUACCUUUAUAGAGUUUCUGCUAGAAUCUAGUGUUUUCCUGCCCUCUUGGAUACUCUUGUGCUCAGCCCAGGGAUUCAUCCUUAGCUGGUCUGGGGUGAGAAUCCUUGCUUUUAUACCUUCUUGCCUUCUUCCACAUCUUUUGCCUUAUGUCAGAAGCCAAGACAGUGCAGGUGUCUGGACUGGGUGUGAGGUGGGGUGGAGAUGCUGGUGCAUGAAGGAGGAUUCUGGGGGGAACUUUGGUUAGAGCCGCAAAUAGGAACAGCUAAUAUUUAUUGAGCACUUACUAUGUGCCAGACCCUAUUCUAACCGAUUUACAUGUAUUAGCUCAUUAAUCUGUAUGAAAACUGACUUUGAUUGUUGAAGAAACUGAGGUUCAGGCUAGGGAUGUUUUUUACCCAAGGUCACAUAGCUGGAAAUGGUUAGGACAGGGCUUUGAACGAGGCAGUCCAAUUCUAAAAUUCCUGCUUCCAGCCAUUCCUCCCAUGGCCAGCAGGGGUAGGAAGGGUGUUGGUGGUGAGCAAGGGGCCGAAGUGGUCUGAGCCCUCAGGGCUGGUUAAGGAGGGGGAAGGAGUUCAGGAUCAGCCCCCCUUCCCUGCUCCCUGCUGCCCUUCACCUGGGGAGGGCCGAGCUCCCCAUUGGCAGAUGCAUGGGCCAGUGUCCUGCUGUGGUUGACUAAGUCUUGGGCCCCCGGCCUUGACCUCAGCUCUGCCUGGGGAGUCGCUGCAUGACCACCUCUUGAGGCAUCCAGGAGUGGAUGAAUUUUGCACAGGAGCCUUGGAGGCUAGAUUCUCCUAUGAUGGGCCUGGGAGACCCAGCCUCCUCCCACCCCACAUCCAGCCCCACUCCUGUCUGAGCCGGUGGGGGAGUCCUAAGCACCUACUGUGUACUCUUUCUUUCUAUGCUGUCUCACAUCAGCCAUGUGUUACAAUUCACCUUUUACAGUUGAGGAAACUGAGGCUCAGAGAGGUGAAGUCACUUACCCCGGGUCACACAGCCAGUAAGGGGGCAACUUGAGGUUGAACCCCAUCUGGUUUAUGCUCAUCCCACUCCAUCAGGGCUGUGAAUAGGCGAUGUGAUCCCUGCCCUAGAAUUCUAGCCCUGACCAGGCCCUCUAGGGGGCAGGGCCAGGGUUUGGGUUAUGGGCUUGGAGGUGGGGAGGAGGCAAAGACUCUGUGAGCACCAACCUGAGGAACCUGUGUGCUGCCGUCUGAUGUAUCUGGACAGUUCAGCUGUCGUCUGAACUUCCUACAGGGAUUCUCUUAAAGGAAUCAUGUGAGAGAGAAGGGACAGUGACAUGGAUAAGUCUGCUUUGGUUUUCAGGUGAUGGCUCUGGGAUCACACAGACUUGGGCUGAAAUCACAGCUCUGCCUGCUACCGGCUAUGUGGUUUGGGACAAAUCCUUUGUUAUCUCUGAGUCUUGGGCUUCAUAGCUAGAAAAUGGGUAUAAUGGUGCCUCCCCUGACCCUAUAGAGAUCACAGUGUACAAAGUCCACACAUAACUUUUGCCAAAUUCAUUGAGUCUUUUCUAUGUACCGGACACCAUCCUAACCCUUCACACCCUUCACUUCAUUUGAUCUUCACUCUGAUCUGAUGUGGGGGGGUGCUCAGUGAGGUGAAUCACCCGCCUAAGGUUACACAGCGUGGAGGUGGCAGAGCAGGACUCAGCUGGCCUGUCUGCCUCGAGUGCCCACAGCCUCCCCUGCCCGUCUCUUUCUCUGUCCCUUUCGUGCUCGGGCUGGGGCCCUGGUGCUUCUGAUCCUGUGGUGUCUGCAGAGGAAGCUGACUCAGAGUUUUGCCGGAAUUCUCUAUCAGCUUCCAAGUACUCCUGGUGAGUGUGGGUCCCUGAGGGGUGAGGGCCUGGGUCCUCCUGACUCUCCCUGAGACAUAACCAGCACUUGCCUCAAACCUUUCUUCCCUCCCACCCUCCCCCAGGCCCGUGGAAUAUUUCCUACAGGGAUAGUGAUGCUUCCCCGUAGUUCGCUGUUGUCAGCUGGUGCUUCCAGCUCUGCUCCCCGCCUCCUGCAGCCUCGUGGUGGCUGGUGGCUGGCGGUGGGCCCUGGGAUCACCCCAGGAGACUCUUUGAAAGCCUUCCAAGCAGGCAGCACCAGCGGGCUCAUCACUGCAGAGACCCGUCUCCUGGAGCACAUCUGUCUCAGCUUGGGUCCGCCACCCAGAAAGCAGACUCUGAGACAAGGCCGGGUGCAGGUGGUUUAUUUGGGACCAGAUCCCAAGGACCAGGGGAAUAGAAGAGAGAUGGAGGCAAGCAUUAUCCAGUUAGCCUUUGGCACGGGGGAUCGGUGUUCCACCUUGCUGGAACCUUCUGAGAAGACUUAAGAAACACAUCUCUGAACUGUCCACCUAGGGGUCAGAGGGAGAAACAUUUACCUGUUGGCGCCUGUCCCCCACCGGUCGAGGUGGGCCUAGGGGUGUUGGCUCCCCACACUUCUGGCUGCGCGUGGGAGUCCAGCUUCGGAAGAGGGGCCAGAAGCGAGGGGUCAGCAUCCUCAGUGCUGUGAAGUGGCCCCUACGUGAAGCUGCGUGAGGUCCGCAGCAGUGGCUGGAGAAGGGGUGCGUGUUGGGCGGGGGUGAGAGGACUUGCAGAGCUACUCAGGAGGUGUCCAGUACCAGCAUCUCUGCCCCGCCUGGUCAUUUCCUCUCCCUUCCCCGAACCCAUGGGUACUCAGGAGUACCCCGCUUUGCCAGUGGUCUGGAGUUAACAACCACCGCUGGGCUUCUGUUAUAUAGGUUGUGUGGUGUCCUUCUGAAUGUACACCUGUUCUGUCCCAGGUCCUGCGCUAAGCACUGUGACAUAUAAUUUGAGCCUCACAAUUCUAUGGGGAAGGCACUAUACCCUCCCCAUUUUAUAGGGGGAGGAAAUGGAGGCUCAGAGAGGUGAAGGCUCAUGCUCCAGGUCACACAGCUUGGAAGAGUGGUGUUGGGCUUUGCAGCCAGACCUCUUUCCUGCUGCGGCCCUCCAUCAGCUGGUUCGCCCUCCCGCGUUCCUUCCCCAUCUCCAUCCUCCCUGUCACUGGGGCCAGACCACCCAGUGGGAGGCAGGUAAUAGGUUUUUCAAGGGAGGGAGGCAUGGGAAAGGCACUGGGUUGAAAGCGGGUGGAGAAAUGGGGGGAUACGGGAAGUCUGCCAGGUGGGGCUGUAUCUUCUCUCAGUCCUGACACCCCUCCCCCAUGAUGCAGCCCCCCAAUCCCGUCUCCCCACCUCCCCCGCCCCAUCCUCCUCCCUUAGACUCCCAGAAGGGCCUUCACGACUCGUCUAGACCAGGCUUUCAAGAUUCCUUGACAGGAGGGGAAUCCUUUGUUGAUAUGACAUAUUACAAGGACUCCCAGCACACCAAGCAGAUAAAAGCGAGUCUGAUCUGGGGGGCAGCUGGGGGGCAGGGCCAGAGCUCCACUUUCUCCACUGCCCCCUACUCCCCCGCUCCCCACUCCCACUUCAAAAUGCCCCUGAGACUAUUCCAGGGAACCCUGGGGUCCCAAGGAAUCCACUUUGAAAACCCCUACUCUCAUCCAUACCUCCUCCAGUAGAUAGGGAGAAGGAGGCCCGGAGAGGUCCCCUGACCUGCUCAAGGUCACCCAGGGAGUCAGGGGCAGAGGCAAGGCCCAGGCUGCGUGGCAUCCAGGGUGUGCAUCCGCUGCGUCCUCUAUGUGGCCAAGGGCUCCACGUUGUAAAAUUCCCCUUGCAAACGCCAAGCGUGCCCCUGGCAUUGUGUUUGCUCACACCUGCGGAGGCUAGUGCUUCCAAAUCCUUAUCAUUAGAGCGGGGCUCAUCACUCCGGGCCUUCCCCCACUCCACUCUCCAGGCUGAGAUAAGGGGCAUUAUCUGUCUCAGAGAGCGGAGCUCCUGGAGCAGUGGACGUAAUAAAAGAUGUUUGCCGAUCAGACCAUGUUCACUGAAUCUCCUUGAAGAAAAGAUAUAGAAAUAGCUCAGCGGGCCCUGAAAGCCCCCAGGCCUGACUUCCCUGGAGACGCGAGGACCAGGCCAUGUGAGGUCCCGGAGACCCCUGCCUUUCCUGGGCCCCCUUCUCAGUGGGAGCCCAUAGGGAUGCCCUGACAUGACGCAGGAGUGAGCUGGGUCACCGGCAGGCAGGAGGAGUGUCCAGUGUCCAUUGGCCUCCCUCUGGCUGUGUGUCCCUAAGUCUCUGCUCCUCUCUGGGCCUCCUCUCUGGGCCCAUAUGUACCAGAAGCUGUGGGCCUGGACCAUCCCUAGUGCCUCAGUAGCUCGGGCAGUCUCUGUCCUCUAAACCCCAUUCUGCCUUGGACCCCUCGAUGCAGGCGAAGCUUGUGGGCUCCUGACCCCUCUUCUGCAUGUCCAGGGACCAGCUGCACACUAGAGCCUUCCCUCCACCCCCAAGGCUCCCACCUGCUCCCCUCCUGGAGGACCGACUCUAAAGGAAGCCUGUCCUUUGUCAGCAGAGCCGCCUCUCCCAGCAAAGGGCUUUCAUCUCAGUGAGCAGGACGUUCCUGACCGCAGAGGGAGCCUUCAGGGAACCCAGCCUCUUGUCCUCUAAUGUCUGGGCUGGAGCAGCUGCAGGAAGUUGGGUGAGCUGGUGUGGCUCAGUGGCUAAGGGUAAAACAGACCUGACCUUGAAUUCUGACUAUAUUCUGGGGCUAGUUGCUUAAUGGUCACAUGACUCAGUUUCCCUAAGUGGAUUAUGGGGGCUAAUAAUCGUACCUAAUUAAAUGGUUCAAGAAAUAAACAGCUAGUGUAAAAGAUCUAGCACACUGCUUGGCGCAUGAUAAACACUCUAUUGCGAUAAACUGAUUGUAUUAACAACCUCCAUUUUUCAGUCUUUCUUGUACCUCUAUCCUUUGCAAUAAGACCCUGCAGUUGAUCCCACUACUGGGCGUAUACCCAGAGAAAACCAUAAUUCAGAAUGACACAUGCACCCCAAUGUUCGUUGCAGCACUCUUUACAAUAGCCAGGUCAUGGAAGCAACCUAAAUGCCCAUCGACAGACGAAUGGAUAAAGAAGAUGUACUUAUAUGCAAUGGAAUAUUACUCAGCCAUGAAAAGGAAUGAAAUUGGGUCAUUUGUAGAGACGUGGAUGGACCUAGAAACUGUCAUACAGAGUGAAGUAAGUCAAAAAGAGAAAAAAAAUUAUCGUGUAUUAUUGCAUAUAUGUGGAAUCUAGAAAAAUGGUACAGAUGAAUCGGUUUGCAAGGCAGACAUAGAGACACAGAUGUAGAGUACAAAUGUAUGGACACCAAGGGGGGAAAGUUGGGGGCGGUGCUGGUGGGAUGAACUGGGAGAUUGGGAUUGACAUGUAUACACUAACAUGUAUAAAAUAGAUAACUAAUAAGAAAGUGCUGUAUAAAAAAAAUAAAUAAAAUAAAAUUUAAAAAAAACAAUAAAAAAAGAACUGAAUAUUUGUUCUUGA